UACGUAGGUGGCGAGCGUUGUCCGGAUUUACUGGGCGUAAAGAGCGCGCAGGCGGUCGUUCAAGUCGAGUGUGAAAGCCCCCGGCUCAACUGGGGAGGGUCACUCGAUACUGAUCGACUUGAAGGCAGGAGAGGGAAGCGGAAUUCCCGGUGUAGUGGUGAAAUGCGUAGAUAUCGGGAGGAACACCAGUGGCGAAGGCGGCUUCCUGGCCUGUUCUUGACGCUGAGGCGCGAAAGCUAGGGGAGCAAACAGG
rnacentral:rRNA from 1 species